UCAUCUGAGGCUUUGGAGCUAUCUCUCCCUGCUUUGGAAGCUGUUGUGUCUGUAAGCUAGGACAUUGUUUAAUCUAGUGUCCCAAUUUUCCACAUUUAAAACAGGCUCCGGUAUUCCAAUAACAAGGGCUUGAUCCAUGAUUUUUCCCACAUUUUCUACAUGGUUCUAUUGGGUUUUGAAAUGGUGAGGGCCUUGGCUUCUUGUU
rnacentral:lncRNA from 1 species